GAUGAACGCUGGCGGCGUGCCUAAUACAUGCAAGUCGAGCGAACGGACGAGAAGCUUGCUUCUCUGAUGUUAGCGGCGGACGGGUGAGUAACACGUGGAUAACCUACCUAUAAGACUGGGAUAACUUCGGGAAACCGGAGCUAAUACCGGAUAAUAUUUUGAACCGCAUGGUUCAAAAGUGAAAGACGGUCUUGCUGUCACUUAUAGAUGGAUCCGCGCUGCAUUAGCUAGUUGGUAAGGUAACGGCUUACCAAGGCAACGAUGCAUAGCCGACCUGAGAGGGUGAUCGGCCACACUAGAAAUGAGACACGGUCAAGACUCAUACGGGAGGCAGCAGUAGGGAAUGUUCCGCAAGGGGCGAAAGCCUGACGGAGCAACGCCGCGUGAGUGAUGAAGGUCUUCGGAUCGUAAAACUCUGUUAUUAGGGAAGAACAUAUGUGUAAGUAACUGUGCACAUCUUGACGGUACCUAAUCAGAAAGCAACGGCUAACUACGUG
rnacentral:rRNA from 1 species